UUUCAUCAAGGACCACCAUUGGAUUUGCAUCCUCCAAACUGAAGAGGAGAAAGAGCACCCUUUUUUAUUACCAUCAGUGCAAUUGAUGGGUUAUCUGAUCAAAACUGAUCUCUCACUAUAAUGUAGUUACUCUUAAUCCUUGUUUGGAUUUUGAUGAGCUGUGUGGGUGACUGGGCAUGGUAAAGACGAUGAAGAAAAAGAUGGAGAUUAAAGAUGAAUAAUCAUGUAAAAGAUUUUAGUGAUUAUCUAAUGAAUUUGAAUUAAAAUAAUAACUUAAAAUUUGAAUGUAA